rnacentral:rRNA from 1 species
AUGCACCACAUCUCUACUACUACAUGGACGGUGAGCGCUUCGGUCAAAGAAUGGUGGGACAACAACCUUCAGAUUCGACUCGGCUCUCCCAAAGCCCUUGCCUCAUUGAUGAUGCUCAUCUCUUGGGAGGUUUGGUCCGAGAGAAACGCUAGAGUCUUCCGCAACGUGGCGGUUCCAUCGGUGGUCAUCAACAACAAGAUCAAGCAUGAGGCAUCGCUUUGGGCUUUGGCGGGUGCCAAGCACUUGAGUAUUGUAAUGCCGCGAGAGUAA